GUCGGGAUAGCUCAGUUGGUAAAGCAGAGG
rnacentral:tRNA from 1 species